rnacentral:rRNA from 1 species
CUACGUGCCAGCAGCCGCGGUAAUACGUAGGUCCCGAGCGUUGUCCGGAUUUAUUGGGCGUAAAGCGAGCGCAGGCGGUUUGAUAAGUCUGAAGUUAAAGGCUGUGGCUCAACCAUAGUUCGCUUUGGAAACUGUCAAACUUGAGUGCAGAAGGGGAGAGUGGAAUUCCAUGUGUAGCGGUGAAAUGCGUAGAUAUAUGGAGGAACACCGGUGGCGAAAGCGGCUCUCUGGUCUGUAACUGACGCUGAGGCUCGAAAGCGUGGGGAGCGAACAGGAUUAGAUACCCUGGUAGUCCACGCCGUAAACGAUGAGUGCUAGGUGUUGGAUCCUUUCCGGGAUUCAGUGCCGCAGCUAACGCAUUAAGCACUCCGCCUGGGGAGUACGACCACAAGGUUGAAACUCAAAGGAAUUGACGGGGGCCCGCACAAGCGGUGGAGCAUGUGGUUUAAUUCGAAGCAACGCGAAGAACCUUACCAGGUCUUGACAUCCCGAUGCUAUUUCUAGAGAUAGAAAGUUA